rnacentral:rRNA from 1 species
UGGGGAAUAUUGGACAAUGGGCGAAAGCCUGAUCCAGCCAUGCCGCGUGUGUGAAGAAGGUCUUCGGAUUGUAAAGCACUUUAAGUUGGGAGGAAGGGCAUUAACCUAAUACGUUAGUGUUUUGACGUUACCGACAGAAUAAGCACCGGCUAACUCUGUGCCAGCAGCCGCGGUAAUACAGAGGGUGCAAGCGUUAAUCGGAAUUACUGGGCGUAAAGCGCGCGUAGGUGGUUCGUUAAGUUGGAUGUGAAAUCCCCGGGCUCAACCUGGGAACUGCAUUCAAAACUGACUGACUAGAGUAUGGUAGAGGGUGGUGGAAUUUCCCGUGUAGCGGUGAAAUGCGUAGAUAUAGGAAGGAACACCAGUGGCGAAGGCGACCACCUGGACUAAUACUGACACUGAGGUGCGAAAGCGUGGGGAGCAAACA